rnacentral:rRNA from 1 species
UACGGGGGGGGCAAGCGUUGUUCGGAAUUACUGGGCGUAAAGGGCGCGUAGGCGGCCUGCUAAGUCGGAUGUGAAAUCCCUCGGCUCAACCUGGGAACUGCGUCCGAUACUGGCAGGCUUGAAUCCGGGAGAGGGAUGUGGAAUUCCAGGUGUAGCGGUGAAAUGCGUAGAUAUCAGGAGGAACACCUGUGGCGAAAGCGGCUCACUGGACCACAACUGACGCUGAGGCGCGAAAGCUAGGGGAGCAAACAGG